AAUAGAAUGCCUGAAAAAAGGAUUAUUUUGAUAGAAUAAAUCACGUGAAAUAUCACUUCUAUUG
rnacentral:tRNA from 1 species